AAGUAAGUUUUUUUUUUUUUUAAUCAUCUCGGGCACCUUAUUUGUCACUGAGCCAUAACUGCCUAAAAUAAGUUUACCUUAGGUUGUUGAUCGUGCCUGGACUGUUUGUAGCCUACUGACACCUGCUCAUCUAGUUGUAUGUUUGAUAUCCCAACGAAUUUUAUGCAAAGUGUUCAUCUGUCGACGUGUUCAACCUUUCACUCAGUCUGAUCUUCUAUUCACUCCAUUAAUCACAAACAGAUUUAUACAGAUUUUUGUCAGCACUGGACCAAAAUGAAGUAGGCCUAUUCGAGGAGUGUGACCCAUUACUCUUUACAAAAGUGGCCUUUAUGACAUUAGUUCUUGAGUUGUGACAAACAAAGGGCAUGUCAAAACCGUUUGUCUUCAUUUGCAUAACGUUUCCCACAGGAGUAGAGCAAAUCCCUGCUCCUUUACCCGUCACUUCCCUCCUAAUCUACAUGUGAAGUGUCUUCAUGAAUGACGACAGAUGCGGUCUUUAAACCCGUUAAAACGGAAAAGAAAAAAGCCGUUUGGCUGCGUCUCAUCUCUCGUCAAUACUGAGACGAGCAGCUCAUGUACAUUGGUUUCGGUCGGAACAGGUUUUUACGCUGUUCAAUUUAAUUUCUGAUUCUGCGAAGAAUGACAAAUGUGACAAGUUCUCAUUUUGUCCGUUUACUUAUAGGCCUACAUUUUGCAGCAGUAUUUUGCUAGGGGGAGUUAUCAUAAAGAACUUUACUUUGAAGGAAAAAAAACAAUUUAUGGUAUCCAUAUUUUGUUUAAAAUACCUGUACGACUCAGGGUUAAUUGUCUUACCGACGUUGUUUAAUUACUGCCUGUGGUGUGUCUGUGAUAAUUAAGUGAGCUAUUAUGGCAACAGUGAUUGAGGUGUGUGAAUAGUGAGUGAGCAUCUGCCCUGUCCGCGCACUGAAUAGAAAACGCGGAAAAUAUUCCACUCUGGCACACGGAGCCCAUAUUAAUUUGAAUUGUAAACUACUCCAGACUUCUAUGCCACAUGAAACACAUCAUCAUGUUUCCAUGAAGCCUCUAAAGCAUAUUUUGAAAUUCGAAAAAAUAUCACUGUGUUAAUACAAAUAAACAGGCCUAUUCGUAACAGCAAAGCUUCAACAUCAUGUGCAGUCACGGACUUUUAUUUACUUUUAUGGUGCCAGUACAGUGAAGAAAAAUCUGGUUUUGCAACAACAUGAAGGUGAGUAAAUAAAAUAUUAAUUUCUUUUGAUCAUUCAAAUGUUGUAAAUUUUUGGCUCAUACCUGACCCUUCGUCGCCUUUUCUCAGUCCGGUUCCGCAGGUGCUCCAUCCCAUGUUUGUGAGCGGGCUCGGAUCCCUCUUGAGAGCGUCGAGUGUGUGUAUUUAGGCUAAUGCCUUUGAUUCAGUAACAGUUCAUUGAGGGUUCUCUCCUGCAGCAGGACUGGAAACAUUUCUCUAACUUCACGUCCAGCGUCGACUUAGGAUCUGUUCUUGCCAAAUACAGCAGUACCUUUUUUCAACAGCUUUAUUUUCAUGCAGUGUUAAGUUUACGCAUAUAGUGAUUUUUAAAAAUUAUAAAAAGCUGUUCGUCGUACUGGAUUAGCAACACGAACGCAAGUUGACAAUUGCUCAUAUAAAGGUGUGUCCAUCUAAAGAGACUGCUGUGUUUAGUGCCACUAUGAAGGACCGCGACUCACUCUCCCUCCUGCACUACUCUGGUUCAGGCAAGACGAGCCCUCAAUUUGCUUCUGCUUCUCUCCAUCCCAGCUCCCCUGUGUUGGGAAAGCCCCAGCCUUUCUGCCUGCAGUCCGGCCAGCAUCUCAUAGCCUCCAUGCAGCUCCAGAAACUCAACAGUCACUAUCAGAAUCUGUCCUCUGCAGCUACAACCGGACCCUGGACGAGGGUAUGGAGCCACGAUGCUGGGCACAGGACAGAUUGCCACUCCUGGGGCGGCACAGGCACCUGGGAUCAUUGAUUCUGAUCCGGUCGAUGAGGAAGUUCUGAUGUCGCUAGUGGUGGAGCUGGGUUUGGACCGUGCCAAUGAGCUUCCAGAGCUUUGGCUGGGUCAGAACGAGUUUGACUUCAUCGCGGAUGUGCCGGCUGGCUGCUGACCCUCUUGGUUUCCACCAAAUCUCCUGCGGUCUUUAAAAUCAAAGUGUCAAAUGAACGGCAAUCAAAUUUGCCUAUAAAAAGAGUAUUUAACUGUCAGAUUUGAACUGUCGAGAGCUGUUAUUUACAGACUGACGUAGGUUUGCUCGAGACUUCUGUUCGUGAGACUCUGUGUAGUCUUUUCUGUGGAGAAAGAAUCUCAGAAAGAAGUGGACUAAGCAGGCUUACCAAAACGGCCAUCCUUAAGAUGUUUUCCGCUGCCUUAGGGACGUCUAUAUUUCCAAAGCUCAUUCACACCCUUAUAAAAGCCACAUCAUGAUAUGUGGAAUGGAUUUGAAAAGUCACCUCAAUGUGAGGUUGGAGGAGGAAGAGAUAUACAGCAAACAUGGUUUGUAAAGAACAAAGGCUACUCUUGCCUGGUUGCCUGUUGUUUGUUCCGACCCUAUCCAGACAAACGGUGGGAUGGUAUUACAUGUGUGUAAUGGAAGGUGAUCGUGAAACUGGUGCGCUCAGCUGAGCCCCUCUAUCAUUCGUGAGAUUCCCUUGAGAAGCCAUGUCAUCACAAGCCUCGCUGGUCACCGAGGAACUCAACCUGGCCGAAGGUUUUCCAUGGUUAAAUAUAUUAAUGAGACGUGUCUGUUUACCCCACAAGUCAGCCUGCAUGGUGUGAUAGCCUUAUUUUUAUAUGUUUGUCUAGAGAUGAUUCGUUUAUGCACUUAUCAAUGUUCAUCCAAAAAAUGUAUUGCCUACUUUUUUUUUUUCCCUCUAAAUUUACUUACUCAGUUCAGUUUUUUUUUUUUUUUUGUCUUGUAGGCUAUAUAAAUAAAAUAAGUUAAUUGUAAUGUAGAUAUAUGCAGGCCUUGUCCAAAAUCCACAAAUAUGGUAGACAUUUUUGUUAGCAUGCAUGCUUAAAAUGCAUUUGGUUACCCAUUGAAAAAGAUCUUUCUGUCAGAUAUUUUCUGUCAUUUUACUUUACUGUUUUUGAAAUUUGUGACUUAAUGAAACCUUAAUCAAAGAUUUUUUCAUUUAGCACUUUUCUUUCAUUUAUUUUUCUACAUAAGAGAGUUAUUACCUAUAUUUAAAAGUGUGUAUUUUUUUUUUUUUUUUCUUUUUCUGUGAAUGUGAGAAAAUAAAGUAACAAAGCACAA